UACAGAGGUCUCAAGCGUUGUCCGGAAUUAUUGGGCGUAAAGAGCUCGUAGGCGGUUUGUCACGUCUGCUGUGAAAACUCGGGGCUUAACUCCGGGCCUGCAGUGGGUACGGGCAGACUAGAGUGCGGUAGGGGAGACUGGAAUUCCUGGUGUAGCGGUGAAAUGCGCAGAUAUCAGGAGGAACACCGGUGGCGAAGGCGGGUCUCUGGGCCGUAACUGACGCUGAGGAGCGAAAGCGUGGGGAGCGAACAGG
rnacentral:rRNA from 1 species